rnacentral:rRNA from 1 species
AUUGAACGCUGGCGGCAGGCUUAACACAUGCAAGUCGAGCGGGGGAGGUUACUUCGGUAACUGACCUAGCGGCGGACGGGUGAGUAAUGCUUAGGAAUCUGCCUAUUAGUGGGGGACAACAUUCCGAAAGGAAUGCUAAUACCGCAUACGUCCUACGGGAGAAAGCAGGGGAUCUUCGGACCUUGCGCUAAUAGAUGAGCCUAAGUCGGAUUAGCUAGUUGGUGGGGUAAAGGCCUACCAAGGCGACGAUCUGUAGCGGGUCUGAGAGGAUGAUCCGCCACACUGGGACUGAGACACGGCCCAGACUCCUACGGGAGGCAGCAGUGGGGAAUAUUGGACAAUGGGCGGAAGCCUGAUCCAGCCAUGCCGCGUGUGUGAAGAAGGCCUUUUGGUUGUAAAGCACUUUAAGCGAGGAGGAGGCUCCUUUAGUUAAUACCUAAAGUGAGUGGACGUUACUCGCAGAAUAAGCACCGGCUAACUCUGUGCCAGCAGCCGCAGUAAGAC